GAUGAACGCUGGCGGCGUGCCUAAUACAUGCAAGUCGAGCGAACGGACGAGAAGCUUGCUGUUCUGAUGUUAGCGGCGGGCGGGUGAGUAACACGUGGAUAACCGACCUAUAAAACUGGGAUAACUUCGGGAAACCGGAGCUAAUAGCGGAUAAUAUUUUGAACCGAAUGGUUCGAAAGUGAAAGACGGUCUUGCGGUGACUAAUAGAUGGAUCCGCGCUGCAUUAGCUAGGUGGUAAGGUAACGGCUUACCAAGGCAACGAUGCAUAGGCGACCUGAGAGGGUGAUCGGCCACCCUGGAACUGAGACACGGUCCAGACUCCUACGGGAGGCAGCAGUAGGGAAUCUUCCGCAAUGGGUGAAAGCCUGACGGAGCAACGCCGCGUGAGUGAUGAAGGUCUUCGGAUCGUAAAACUCUGUUAUUAGGGAAGAACAUAUGUGUAAGUAACUGUGCACAUCUUGACGGUACCUAAUCAGAAAGCCACGGCUAACUACGUG
rnacentral:rRNA from 1 species